UACGAGGGGUGCAAGCGUUGCUCGGAAUUAUUGGGCGUAAAGAGUAGGUAAAUAGUCUCAUUUGUCUGGGGUGAAAGCCUUGAGCUUAACUCAAGAAGUGCCCCAGAAACGGUGAGACUGGAGUCCUGGAGAGGGUCGUGGAAUUCCCGGUGUAGCGGUGAAAUGCGUAGAGAUCGGGAGGAACACCAGAGGCGAAGGCAGCGACCUGGACAGGUACUGACACUCAACUACGAAAGCGUGGGGAGCAAACAGG
rnacentral:rRNA from 1 species